rnacentral:rRNA from 1 species
AAGUCUAAACGACUCUCGGCAACGGAUAUCUCGGCUCUCGCAUCGAUGAAGAACGUAGCGAAAUGCGAUACUUGGUGUGAAUUGCAGAAUCCCGUGAACCAUCGAGUUUUUGAACGCAAGUUGCGCCCCAAGCCUUUUGGCCAAGGGCACGUCUGCCUGGGUGUCACA